rnacentral:snRNA from 1 species
GGAGGGCAAUCUGGCUGUGGCAUCUGCCACCCCAUUGAUCACCAGGAUUGAUUCAGCUGAUCUGGCUGACUAGGUGAGUGUCCCCUUCCUCCUUCACUGCUCCAUGUGUGUCCCACCCAAGCUUCCUGCUCUGUCGAAGAGGACGGCCUUCCCCGAAUAGAGAUGGACAAACUUUGGUUGAGGGGUUGAGGGUAUAUGAGUAGCUGCACUCCCCUGCUAGAACCUUUAAACAAACUCUCAAGAAUAGGAAGACUUCCAAUGGAGGGGAUGGGAUAUGGCACUCUGGUAGUGAGAACUGUACCCCUCU